rnacentral:rRNA from 1 species
UACAGAGGUCUCAAGCGUUGUUCGGAUUCAUUGGGCGUAAAGGGUGCGUAGGCGGCGCGGUAAGUCGGGUGUGAAAUCUCGGAGCUUAACUCCGAAACUGCAUUCGAUACUGCCGUGCUUGAGGACUGGAGAGGAGACUGGAAUUCCCGGUGUAGUGGUGAAAUGCGUAGAUAUCGGGAGGAACACCAGUGGCGAAGGCGACUUCCUGGCCUGUUCUUGACGCUGAGGCGCGAAAGCUAGGGUAGCAAACGGG